rnacentral:rRNA from 1 species
GAUCCUGGCUCAGGACGAACGCUGGCGGCGCGCCUAACACAUGCAAGUCGAACGAGAGAGAAGGAGCUUGCUUCUUCGAUCGAGUGGCGAACGGGUGAGUAACGCGUGAGGAACCUGCCUCAAAGAGGGGGACAACAGUUGGAAACGACUGCUAAUACCGCAUAAGCCCACGGGUCGGCAUCGAUCUGAGGGAAAAGGAGCGAUCCGCUUUGAGAUGGCCCNGCGCUAUACGUCUUAGGUUGG